UCUGCCUUGCCAAAGACGUGGCCUUUGGUUGUGGACAUAUGACUUGCAGAGAAUGUGGGUCAAAGGUGUCCAACUGUCCAAUAUGCCGACAAAGGAUUACUAAUCGUCUCAGGUUGUUUACUUGAUUUCUGUAUUAUUAUGACUUUUAUGUACAGACAAUGUACGUAGUUAAGGGAAUAUUUAUGUAUUUUAAUGAAUUUUGAAAAUACUAAUUUGUACAAAAUGUUGAAAGCAUUGGUUUGAAGCAUCUCUUUUUCUUUUUGCUUUUCU